rnacentral:rRNA from 1 species
UACGUAGGGUGCAAGCGUUGUCCGGAAUUAUUGGGCGUAAAGAGCUCGUAGGCGGUUUGUCGCGUCUGCUGUGAAAACUCGGGGCUUAACUCCGGGCCUGCAGUGGGUACGGGCAGACUAGAGUGCGGUAGGGGAGACUGGAAUUCCUGGUGUAGCGGUGAAAUGCGCAGAUAUCAGGAGGAACACCGGUGGCGAAGGCGGUUCUCUGGGCCGAUACUGACGCUGAGGAGCGAAAGCGUGGGGAGCGAACAGG